UACAGAGGUCUCAAGCGUUGUUCGGAUUCAUUGGGCGUAAAGGGUGCGUAGGUGGCGGGGCAAGUCUGGUGUGAAAUCCCGGGGCUCAACCCUGGAACUGCACUGGAUACUGCCUUGCUAGAGUACUGGAGAGGGAACUGGAAUUUACGGUGUAGCAGUGAAAUGCGUAGAGAUCGUAAGGAAGACCAGUGGCGAAGGCGGGUCUCUGGACAGUUCCUGACACUGAGGCACGAAGGCCAGGGGAGCAAACGGG
rnacentral:rRNA from 1 species